GGGCCUUAGCUCAGUGGCAGAAUAUCAGAUUGGCAAGCAGAAGGUCCCGGGUUCAAUCCCUGACAUCUCCA